rnacentral:lncRNA from 1 species
AGAAGGUUGCAAGGAGUUCUGUGGGAGGCCCUGGGGUCUUAUUAGUUGAAGGAGACAAAUCAUCAUACCUUUAAUACUGGCUACAAUUGUCCCCUUUCAUGGGUAGUCUUGGAGAGAAAAUUGCUAAUCUGGAAUGGGCAUACUUCUUGAUCUUGGUUGGCAUUUUUCAAACUGUGAUGAAGACUAUUUUUAUAGCCCGGUUCAGAAUACAGAAGGAGACCUACUCUUCUCUGAUCACAAUCUAAAUGCUACAGACAGAGGACAUGUGGAAAGAUCUGGCAUGGAUUAAAUAUAAACAAAAAUGAAGCAAGAAACAAAACUGGUCUUUCAAUGAAAAGCUGAAGAUGCUGAAGAAGAAAUGCAAAAUCAUUUCACAAGAAAAACAAAAUCAGACCAGGAUAACUUGGCGUACCAUCCUAGCAAAAUAUAUCUUCUUGGAGUUGCCCUGA